rnacentral:rRNA from 1 species
GACGAACGCUGGCGGCGUGCUUAAUACAUGCAAGUCGAACGGAAAGACCCUGCUUUUGUUGGGUUCUCGAGUGCCGAAGGGGUGAGUGACACGUGAGUAACCUGCCCUUGACUUUGGGAUAACUUCAGGAAACUGGGGCUAUUAUCGCAUAGGAGCUCCUGCUGCAUGUGGUGGAUUGGAAAGUUUCGGCGGUUGUGGAUCGACUCGCGGCUUAUCAGCUUGUUGGUGGGGUAGUGGCUGACCAAGGCUUUGAAGGGUAGCCGGCCUGAGAGGUUUACCGGGCACAUGGGGACUGAGAGACGGCGCAGAAUCCUAUGGGACGCAGCAGUGGGGAAUAUGGCACAAUGGGCGGAAGCCUGAUGCAGCAACGCCGCGUGCGGGAUGACGGCCUUCGAGUUGUAAACCGCUGUCGCCUGAGACGAAGCGUGAGUGACGGUAAUGGGUAAAGAAGCACCGGCUAACUACGUG